rnacentral:rRNA from 1 species
UUGGAGGGCAAGUCUGGUGCCAGCAGCCGCGGUAAUUCCAGCUCCAAUAGCGUAUAUUAAAGUUGCUGCAGUUGAAAAGCUCGUAGUUGAAUUUCGGGACCAUCAUGUCGGUCGUGCCUCGGUACGUACUGGCAUUGUUGGUUUCUCCCUUCUGACGAACCAUGAUGUCAUUUAUUUGGUGUUGUGGGGAAUCAGGACUGUUACUUUGAGAAAAUUAGAGUGUUUAAAGCAGGCUCACGCUUGAAUACAUUAGCAUGGAAUAAUGAAAUAGGACGUUUGAUUCUAUUUUGUUGGUUUCUAGGAUCGACGUAAUGAUUAAUAGGGAUAGUUGGGGGCAUUAGUAUUCAAUUGUCAGAGGUGAAAUUCUUGGAUUUAUUGAAGACUAACUACUGCGAAAGCAUUUGCCAAGGAUGUUUUCAUUAAUCAAGAACGAAAGUUAGGGGAUCGAAGACGAUCAGAUACCGUCGUAGUCUUAACCAUAAACUAUGCCGACUAGGGAUCGGAUGAUGUUAAUUUUUUAAUGACUCAUUCGGCGCCUUACGGGAAA